GUAAGGACAUGUGGAGCGCUUAGAAGUGAGAAUGCCGGUGUGAGUAGCGAAAGACGGGUGAGAAUCCCGUCCACCGAUUGACUAAGGUUUCCAGAGGAAGGCUCGUCCGCUCUGGGUUAGUCGGGUCCUAAGCUGAGGCCGACAGGCGUAGGCGAUGGAUAACAGGUUGAUAUUCCUGUACCACCUAUAAUCGUUUUAAUCGAUGGGGGGACGCAGUAGGAUAGGCGAAGCGUGCGAUUGGAUUGCACGUCUAAGCAGUAAGGCUGAGUAUUAGGCAAAUCCGGUACUCGUUAAGGCUGAGCUGUGAUGGGGAGAAGACAUUGUGUCUUCGAGUCGUUGAUUUCACACUGCCGAGAAAAGCCUCUAGAUAGAAAAUAGGUGCCCGUACCGCAAACCGACACAGGUAGUCAAGAUGAGAAUUCUAAGGUGAGCGAGCGAACUCUCGUUAAGGAACUCGGCAAAAUGACCCCGUAACUUCGGGAGAAGGGGUGCUCUUUAGGGUUAACGCCCAGAAGAGCCGCAGUGAAUAGGCCCAAGCGACUGUUUAUCAAAAACACAGGUCUCUGCUAAACCGUAAGGUGAUGUAUAGGGGCUGACGCCUGCCCGGUGCUGGAAGGUUAAGAGGAGCAUUUAAAG
rnacentral:rRNA from 1 species